rnacentral:rRNA from 1 species
GACGAACGCUGGCGGCAUGCCUAAUACAUGCAAGUCGAGCGGAGUUGAUAGAAAGCUUGCUUUCUUGAUACUUAGCGGCGGACGGGUGAGUAACACGUAGGCAACCUGCCCUCAAGCUUGGGACAACUACCGGAAACGGUAGCUAAUACCGAAUACUUGUUUUCUUUGCCUGAAGGAAACUGGUAAGACGGAGCAAUCUGUCACUUGGGGAUGGGCCUGCGGCGCAUUAGCUAGUUGGUGAGGUAACGGCUCACCAAGGCGACGAUGCGUUGCCGACCUGAGAGGGUGAUCGGCCACACUGGGACUGAGACACGGCCCAGACUCCUACGGGAGGCAGCAGUAGGGAAUCUUCCGCAAUGGGCGAAAGCCUGACGGAGCAAUGCCGCGUGAGUGAUGAAGGUUUUCGGAUCGUAAAGCUCUGUUGCCAGGGAAGAACGCUUGGGAGAGUAACUGCUCCCAAGGUGACGGUACCUGAGAAGAAAGCCCCGGCUAACUACGUGCCAGCAGCCGCAGUAA